AGGCGCACGAGGAGCCCAGCGGAGCGCCACCCGGAGCAGGCGCGGAGGAGGGCUGGGGAGGGCCACCAAGGCGACGAGAGCCGGUGUGCCUGAAUCAGCCUAAAGGAGACGGAGGAGGAGUGUGGUGGGCGCAGGGGCAGGGAGCUGGGGGAAGGGCGGGGGGCUAGCCCAGGCUGAAGGCAGGCAGGAGCAGGGCCGCGAUGUCAGACAAGAAACGGCAGCAGUGUGUUUGGGAACCUAGCACCAACCGCACCGGUGGAGACAGGGUCUGCUGUAGAGGAGGUGGGGCCGGGUCCCAGCUAAGUAAGGCGGUGGAUCUUGCAGCCCUUCCAUCCUCAGCCGCUCAUUCUGCGCAAAUCUCGGGGCCAGCCUUGGUGGAGCCGUAAAGCGUCCACCAGAACCUGGAUCCCUCCGCCACCUUUCCCAUGAAUUCACCUUUCUGUACACAGCAAGCGCCUGAGCGGAGACGGCCGACACGUUUCCCACUGUUACCCCAGGAAACCGCGGCUCCUGAGGGGGUCAGGGCCUGGGCAGGGGGCAGAGCUCAGCGCGCCGUACUGAGGCAGAAACGGGGUCCAGAGAGGGUGGGGUGGGGGUACAGGGAAGGGUCGCCCGAAGGUCCCUGGCGCAGGGAGGACAGAGGAGGGAUCUAGAAUUCGUAGGGGAGAAGAGAACUCAGAAAAGAUCCGGCCCAGCGCAUUUAUUUUACAGAGGAAGAAAAACUGAGGCCCAGGGAGGGUAAGUACUGCAGGUAACUAGGCACUAGCAGCAGGGGCACUAGCAGCAGGGACACUCCCUAUCUCGCCUGUCACCCGCGUCCAGCAAAAUCUGAUGCCCUGUCGGCCCAGCAGGGGGCGGUGCUGCUUUAGUUUUGGCCUGGUCGGGGUUGAGCGGAGGAGGGAGCGACUUCGAAUUCAGUCUGCACCUGACUGACCUCGAGCAAAAACGAAGCGGGCGCACGUUACCGUCUUCCAUCUGGGGGCCCAGCAGCCUCCAUCUUCGCCCUAGCCCCUACAGCCUCGUCCCUGGCUGGGGCUCCAGCUCCCCAAUUUCUCACCCUCACCACCAGGAGCUACUUAUCUUAUCACAGGCUCACUUAGAUUACCACUAGGAGAUUACCACUCGGGUGGGGUGGAGGUGCGGUGGGAUUCGCAUUUUGCAAGGGAUCAAAAGAGCGGCUAAUUAUGGCAUUUCUAGCCCAAGGCAUUGGCCAGAGAUAUUGCGGGUAGGCCCCUUAACCUCCCAGCAUCUCGCAGUAUCUACCGAUUAGUGCUGAGCCUCCUGUGCAAUGCAUCCGUCUAUAGAUAUGGCCAGAAUGGGCCGGGCUUGGUGCGCGGUGGCUCACUGCUGUAAUUCCAACACUUUGGGAGGCCGAGGCGGUCGGAUCAACUGAGGUCAGGAGUUCGAGACCAGCCUGGCCAAUAUGGCGAAAUCCUGUUUCUACUUUAAAAACAAACAAACAAACAAACAAAAAACAAAAAAAAAACUAGCCGGGCGUGAUGGCGCAAGCCUGUAGUCCUAGCUACUGGGGAGGCUGAGGCAGAAGAAUCGUUUGAACCCUGGAGGCGGAAGUUGCAGCGAGCGGAGAUCGAGUCACUGCACUCCAGGCUGGGGGAUAGAGCGAGACUCCCAUCUCAAAAUAAAAAAUAAUAAUAAUAAUUUUUUAAAAAGAAAGAAAUGGCCAGAAUGCCAAAGCUUUAAUGGUGGGUAGAAGUCCCCAGACUUGAGAGUCUCGUUCUCCCAACUCU
rnacentral:lncRNA from 1 species